rnacentral:rRNA from 1 species
GACGAACCGUGCGAACGUUGUUCGGAAUCACUGGGCUUAAAGGGCGCGUAGGCGGUCUGCCAAGUCUGGGGUGAAAUCCUCCGGCUCAACCGGAGAACGGCCUCGGAUACUGGCGGUCUCGAGGGAGGUAGGGGCGUGCGGAACUAAGGGUGGAGCGGUGAAAUGCGUUGAUAUCCUUAGGAACUCCGGUGGCGAAGGCGGGUCUCUGGGCAGUAACUGACGCUGAGGAGCGAAAGCGUGGGGAGCGAACAGG